rnacentral:rRNA from 1 species
ACUACGGGAGGCAGCAGUGAGGAAUAUUGGUCAAUGGGAGAGAUCCUGAACCAGCCAAGCCGCGUGAGGGAAGACGGCCCUAUGGGUUGUAAACCUCUUUUGUCGGAGAACAAAACCCGGGACGUGUCCCGGACUGCGUGUAUCCGAAGAAAAAGCAUCGGCUAACUCCGUGCCAGCAGCCGCGGUAAUACGGAGGAUGCGAACGUUAUCCGGAUUUAUUGGGGUUAAAGGGUGCGUAGGCGGUCCGUUAAGUCAGCGGUAACAUUGAGAGGCUCAACCUCUUCGAGCCGUUGAAACUGGUUUUCUUGAGUGAGCGAGAAGUAUGCGGAAGGCGUGGUGUAGCGGUGACAUGCAUAGAUAUCACGCAGAACUCCGAUUGCGAAGGCAGCAUACCGGCGCUCAACUGACGCUCAUGCACGAAAGUGUGGGUAUCGAACAGGAUUAGAUACCCGAGUAGUC